AGUCGACUAAGCGACUAUAAACAGGCAUUAGGCUUAGAGCGUUCCAGUCUUCGGACUGGAGGUUGUU
rnacentral:ribozyme from 10 species